rnacentral:rRNA from 1 species
GGAAUUGACGGGGAGCACCACAACAGGUGGAGCCUGCGGUUUAAUCGGACUCAACGCCGGGAAGCUCACCGGAUAAGACAGCGGAAUGAUAGCCGGGCUGAAGACUCUGCUUGACUAGCUGAGAGGAGGUGCAUGGCCGUCGUCAGUUCGUACUGUGAAGCAUCCUGUUAAGUCAGGCAACGAGCGAGACCCACGCCAACAGUUGCCAGCAUGUCCUCCGGGAUGGUGGGGACACUGUUGGGACCGCCUCUGCUAAAGAGGAGGAAGGAAUGGGCAACGGUAGGUCAGUAUGCCCCGAAUAUCCCGGGCUACACGCGAGCUACAAUGGUUGGUACAAUGGGUAUCUACCCCGAAAGGGGACGGGAAUCUCCUAAAACCAAUCUUAGUUCGGAUUGAGGGCUGCAACUCGCCCUCAUGAAGCUGGAAUCCGUAGUAAUCGCGUUUCAACAGAACGUGGUGAAUACGUCCCUGCUCCUU